CAUAUAACAAGUUUAUUCAAUUUUAAACAAGGUAACUAAAGGAGAGGGCUUCUGGAAGCAACAAUAGUGAAAGGUUAUGUGUCAGAGAUGAGGCCAGAAAAGCAAUCUCACAUCACGUGUGUGACAUCAACAUUCAACUUCUGGACCCUUUACCUUGGCCAUAUGGCUGCCAACGGGAAUCCAGCUCGCCUCAACUCUGCCCUUGUCCAUUUUAAGUCCGUAUUUCGCACAAAUAAAAUAGAUUAAAUCUCG